GACGAACGCUGGCGGCGUGCCUAAUACAUGCCAGUUGAGCGAUGAAGAUUGGUGCUUGCACCAAUUUGAAGAGCAGCGAACGGGUGAGUAACGCGUGGGGAAUCUGCCUUUGAGCGGGGGACAACAUUUGGAAACGAAUGCUAAUACCGCAUAACAACUUUAAACAUAAGUUUUAAGUUUGAAAGAUGCAAUUGCAUCACUCAAAGAUGAUCCCGCGUUGUAUUAGCUAGUUGGUGAGGUAAAGGCUCACCAAGGCGAUGAUACAUAGCCGACCUGAGAGGGUGAUCGGCCACAUUGGGACUGAGACACAGCCCAAACUCCUACGGGAGGCAGCAGUAGGGAAUCUUCGGCAAUGGACGAAAGUCUGACCGAGCAACGCCGCGUGAGUGAAGAAGGGUUUCGGAUCGUAAAACUCUGUUGGUAGAGAAGAACGUUGGUGAGAGUGGAAAGCUCAUCAAGUGACGGUAACUACCCAGAAAGGGACGGCUAACUACGUG
rnacentral:rRNA from 1 species